GAAAAUACCUGAAAGAAAACCCCUUUAAAAAUUGCUGCAGGUACAGUGUUCCAGACACAGUGGCACCAGUGCCUUGUGCAGUAGUAGUACAGACUGCUCCAAGCUGAGAUUUUCCUUCGAUGCCUGAGAAUCGUGGCACAACGGGAGUCACCGUGCUCUCGCUUCAGUGGAUGCAGUCAGCUGAUGAAACACCGGCUCUCCGGAGGCCGUGCAUCAUGGGACUGUGCACCCCGUCCUGCCCCGGACGAAAGCGUGAUUUUUCACCAGUGCUUUGGAGCCAGUACUUUGAAUCUAUGGAGGAUGUUGUGGUAGAAAACGAAACUGGCAAGGAUACUUUUCGAAUUUACAAAAGCGGAUUGGAGGGGCCAGUCUUACUGCUCUUACACGGUGGAGGCCAUUCUGCUCUUUCCUGGGCUGUAUUUACUUCUGCAAUCAUUAACAGGAUUCAGUGUAGGAUUGUGGCUUUAGAUCUGCGAGGCCACGGAGAAACAAAAGUGAGGAAUCCUGAAGAUCUGUCUGCAGAGACUAUGUCAAAAGACGUUGGGAACGUGGUUGAAGCUCUGUAUGGGGACCUCCCUCCCCCUAUCAUGCUGAUUGGGCACAGCAUGGGGGGUGCCAUCGCAGUCCACACGGCAGUCGCAAAUUUGGUGCCGAGUUUACUGGGCCUCUGCAUGAUCGAUGUCGUGGAAGGUACAGCCAUGGAUGCGUUGAACAGCAUGCAGAACUUCUUAAGGAGUCGUCCCAAAACUUUCAAGUCGCUUGAGAAUGCCAUUGAGUGGAGUGUGAAAAGUGGACAAAUAAGAAAUCUUGAAUCUGCCAGAGUUUCUAUGGUCGGCCAAGUCAAACAGUGCGAAGGGGCUGCCAGUCCUGAAUGUCCUAAAGCCAUAGUGGAGGGUAUUAUUGAAGAAGAGGAGGAGGAGGAAGAGGAGGAGGAAGGGGGAGGCUCUGUCAACAAAAGGAAGAAAGAAGAUGACACAGAGACAAAGAAGGAGCACUUAUACACGUGGCGAAUUGAACUGGCGAAAACAGAAAAGUACUGGGAUGGCUGGUUCAGGGGUUUAUCUAACCUCUUCCUGAGCUGUCCAACUCCAAAGCUUUUGCUUUUAGCUGGUGUUGACAGGCUGGAUAAAGAUCUAACAAUUGGACAGAUGCAAGGGAAGUUUCAGAUGCAGGUCCUCCCACAGUGUGGCCAUGCAGUUCAUGAAGAUGCUCCAGACAAGGUUGCUGAAGCUGUUGCGACGUUCCUGAUCCGUCACAGGUUUACAGAGCCCAUCGGUGGAUUCCAGUGUGUGUUUCCUGCUUGUUAAUACCCUGGUGUUCUCCAGCACUGAGUCCUGUUGUAAAUAAACUGCACCAGAGGCCACUGUGAUGUAUCCAUAUCCUUUCAUCUCUCCAGUUCAGCAGCAGUGAGAAGUUGGUGUGAGAUUCAUCCCCUAGAACUAGUUCUCCAGAAUGUGUAAAUGCUUAGGGACUUCCUUGCUGGGAAGCAGCUCGUACUGAAGACCAUGAAAAGCUCUUCAGGCCCUUGGAAGUGGGCUCCUCUCUGCUGCCACAAGGGAAGACCUCCUGAAAUCCCAAGUAGUCGACCAUACCGAUCUCCAUCAAUUCUCAGGCUUUCUUGGACCCAACUGCAAAAGAGGCCGUUGGCAGUCCAGGUCCACCGAGGGCAUUGCAGCAUAGCCAAAGGCGUCAGGAUUUCUCCAUGGAAUCGUCUAACUUUGAAGUGCCCCUUAGGUUUGUUUUUUAUAUACACGUUUCUUUCCCCUAAAGCAGACGAGGAAUCGGCUUCAUUGGGAGCUCAGGUUUCAUCUCACCAACGCCAGCCUUACGAGUUAAGCUGCGGGAACAGCCUAGAUGCUACUUUCCUGUGCAAAGUUGGACAGGACUGUAAAACAAAAAGGCGAGGGGGGACUGUGAGCUCCAUUCCAAGAGUCUUGCCGCUUUCUUAAUACUUGUUUCAAGUUCUCACUGAGAAAAGUAGCCUGGAUAACUCGUUCUGCUGCAGACACAUAACAGGCAGGGGACUCUGGGCCUGCGUUGAUGGGGAAGACUCAAGAGCAGCAGUAACAACGUGGUCUGCAGGCGGUUUGCCUGUUUGGCCGUUCUCUGUGCCUGGAAUGUGUUUAUGCUUCCCUUCUUGUAGCUGCUACACACAGCUGAGCAGAGAUCAGCGGCCUUUUGGAUGAAAAAAUGCAAAAAGUGCAGUAGAUAAGACCCUGGAAGAGCUUGGAGUCAGUCCUGCUGAUGUUGGUGCAGAGGUGUAGGGAGCUGCUGCUGCGUUACGCUCCCCCCAGUACUGGAGGAGACCUUGUUUUCACUGUCACGUCCUAGACCGUUUCGCUGCCUGCCUUCCAUAUUUCCAUGUAAAUGCAGUAGUUACACGGAGAGCUUUUCUUCAGGGUUAAAUUAUCCACAGACAGUUGGUCAGAUUGCUUGCACCUAAGAAUCACUCUUAAGCGGAAGAGCAGACACGGUUUGGAGCAGUUUUCCUCAACAUUUUGCGGGUGGAUGUCUGAAAUUUUUUAUUUUUUUUGCCUUGUGUCCAUAACCCCUUGAUGCUGUAUGACGGGACGCAGUAUCUUAACGCAGUUUUGCUGAGGCAGAGUUCUGUUGUCGGCCUGAUUUGGGAGCUGCGAUGUCCAGCUCUGCGUACGUCCUGUGACAAGAGCCAUCGUGAAUUCUUGGCAUUUGAGAGCUGCAGGUGGGGCAACGGGAGACGGUGUGAAGAGCUGGCAAAGCCUGGUUUAACUCUGGCGUUUACCCUGGUGGAGAGCCACUCAUCUCCUCUGAUUCAUUCGCCUGUGAGCCCUGGACUCGUGGCUUUGCUCUGCGUCCCUUCCCCGACGCAUCAGGGUGGAAAAUACCUGAAUUAGAGACAAGAAAGCCUCAUUCCAGAGAGCUCUCCUCUCUCCUGGCGCUUCGGCCAUCGGCACUCAGGCGUUAAAAGAGCGAUUGCUUGGCUCCCGGCGCUUCCCUCCGUAAGUCACCGUGUUAAUUAUUGCGUUAGUGUACCGUGACCUUGAUGUAACGUCCACCCCUGGUUUAGUUGCUGACAGAUUAAAUGGAUCUUCAGUAGUUGAGAUGCAAAAUAGCACUUUCCCCAGCUGUAUCCUGAAGAUUGGCAAAAUUCUCGCUCCUUUCCAGAUGACUCCCGUGUUCAGACUGUCAGAGACUCAAAUAACAGUGCGUGUCCAGAGCCUCACUUCAUGGAAUAGCAAAGCAUGUGCCUGUUGUCAUACUCAUGAAUGAUCUCGGUAAAGUCACAUUCCUCCGCGCUGAAGUAACUCGGAGGAUCUGGCUUUGAGUGAUUCGUUGCGGUAACUCCUUGCGUUUGCCUCUCACGUUAUCCCUUUCAUUUGCUUUUACAGUUUGCGAGAUAUUAAAAAAAAAAAAAAAAAAAAAAAAACCCCCCAUGGAAAGCAAAAGAAAAUCGGGUUUGUAUUCUGUAGAAGCACCAUUGGAAAAUGAAUGACUGUUCCUGAAUCCUGUGGGCUCCCCGGAAUUAUAUUUUGUUGUUAACAUUUGAGAAGUGAGUGAAAAAAUAAAUAUUUCAACAGCCUAUUUCAUGUGGCGUUGCUCCGUGCCAAGCUCUCAGGCCUGACUUGCACAGAGCAGGCGGCCGCUCGGGGACGCAUUUCGGGCCGGCUUCAAACAAAGGUGGCUGCAGGGACGGCGGCAAGGGCGGGUGGCUGGGUGGAAGGGGGAUUCCUUUUGGCUGUGUCGAGCCACAUACGUUUUUGAGACUGUACUUUUGUCUGAAAAGUAUUAACGCCCCCUGUUGCGGUUUCUUCUCCCUUUUCAGGGAGCUACAGGCAGAGAGAAAUGGUAUUUAGGUGAAGGAUAGCACAGCCCGUGGUAAAAGUCGCUGCGGAGAGAAGAAAUGUUCUCUUUGACUCAUGGAAAAAUGGGGAGAUCUGGAAAAUCCCCCCCAUAACUACCAGGUUCCCGCUGCAUUUUUCCACAGCCUGCAGCAUGGUACUGUCUCUGGAAAAGCAGAUAAAGAGGAGGAGAACGUCUGAGUUGAAAGGAUGCUGAUUUACGCCGGCGCUUUUGGUUAUUUAGAAACCUAUCUUGCUUUUGUUCCAGUCAUUGGAUUGAGGAUCAGUGGAAAACUUUCACAGUGGAAAAUCCCGAGGCUUGGCAGGAGCAGAAGACGCGGUUUGGGGAGGCUGGUUUAUUGCAGCCUUCGCUUCUUAAAUUUUUCAAAUCAGACCCAGGAUGGGUUUUGCCAGCUCUCAGCUUGUAAGCACCGGACAAAACCCUGGGUGACUUGUAGAUUCCAGGAGCAUUGAGAUUGUUGGGAAAAGCCUGCCCUGGUCCAGAUGGGAAGCGAGCGGGGAAGUGAUACCAAAGCCCGUUAAAAAUACCGAUGCCUGCUGCGACUGGAGGUCGCUUUCUGUGCAACCGAGACACCCUCUGAAAAAA